UCUUCACGAUCGGUCUGAAGCUUGUUUCGAGAAGAAGUGAGGACACUUGUAGCGGGGCUUCCGGCUCCUUCACGAGAGAAAUCACGUUUAAUCCGCAAUUGGCUUUGAACCGGGCAAAAGUCGUAACAAGGUACCUGUAGGUGAACCUGCAGGUGGAUCAUCGC
rnacentral:rRNA from 1 species